rnacentral:rRNA from 1 species
AAUCGAAGCAGUGAACUUAAGCCCCAGUAAACGGCGGCCGUAACUAUAACGGUCCUAAGGUAGCGAAAUUCCUUGUCGGGUAAGUUCCGACCCGCACGAAAGGCGUAACGAUUUGGGCACUGUCUCAACAACAGACUCGGUGAAAUUGUAAUUCCGGUGAAGAUGCCGGAUACCUGCGACAGGACGGAAAGACCCCAUGGAGCUUUACUGUAGCUUGACAUUGGGUCUUGGUACUACAUGUACAGGAUAGGUGGGAGGCUUUGAAACCAGGACGCCAGUUUUGGCGGAGCCAUCCUUGGGAUACCACCCUUGUAGUACUGGGACUCUAACCAUAGGCCAUGAAUCUGGUCUUGGGACACUGUCAGGUGGGCAGUUUGACUGGGGCGGUCGCCUCCCAAAAGGUAACGGAGGCGCUCAAAGGUUCUCUCAGUACGGUCGGAAAUCGUACGUAGAGUGUAAAGGCAAAAGAGAGCUUGAUUGCAAGACAUACAGGUCGAGCAAGGAUGAAAAUCGGACUUAGUGAUCCGGUGGUUCUGCGUGGAAGGGCCAUCGCUCAACGGAUAAAAGCUACCCUGGGGAUAACAGGCUUAUCUCCCCCAAGAGUCCACAUCGACGGGGAGGUUUGGCACCUCGAUGUCGGCUCAUCACAUCCUGGGGCUGUAGUAGGUCCCAAGGGUUGGGCUGUUCGCCCAUUAAAGUGGUACGCGAGCUGGGUUCAGAACGUCGUGAGACAGUUCGGUCCCUAUCCGUCGCAGGCGUAGGAAAUUUGAGAAGACCUGUCCUUAGUACGAGAGGACCGGGAUGGACGUACCUCUGGUGUACCAGUUGUCCUGCCAAGGGCAUGGCUGGGUAGCUAUGUACGGAAUGGAUAAGCGCUGAAAGCAUCUAAGCGCGAAGCCAACUUCAAGAUAAGAUUUCCCACCG